rnacentral:rRNA from 1 species
GUGAGGUAAUGGCUCACCAAGGCGACGACGGGUAGCCGGCCUGAGAGGGUGACCGGCCACACUGGGACUGAGACACGGCCCAGACUCCUACGGGAGGCAGCAGUGGGGAAUAUUGCACAAUGGGCGCAAGCCUGAUGCAGCGACGCCGCGUGAGGGAUGACGGCCUUCGGGUUGUAAACCUCUUUCAGUAGGGAAGAAGCGAAAGUGACGGUACCUGCAGAAGAAGCGCCGGCUAACUACGUGCCAGCAGCCGCGGUAAUACGUAGGGCGCAAGCGUUAUCCGGAAUUAUUGGGCGUAAAGAGCUCGUAGGCGGUUUGUCGCGUCUGCCGUGAAAGUCCGGGGCUCAACUCCGGAUCUGCGGUGGGUACGGGCAGACUAGAGUGAUGUAGGGGAGACUGGAAUUCCUGGUGUAGCGGUGAAAUGCGCAGAUAUCAGGAGGAACACCGAUGGCGAAGGCAGGUCUCUGGGCAUUAACUGACGCUGAGGAGCGAAAGCAUGGGGAGCGAACAGGAUUAGAUACCCUGGUAGUCCAUGCCGUAAACGUUGGGCACUAGGUGUGGGGGACAUUCCACGUUCUCCGUACCGUAGCUAACGCAUUAAGUG